rnacentral:rRNA from 1 species
AUUGAACGUUGGCGGCAUGCUUUACACAUGCAAGUCGAACGGCAGCACGGGCUUCGGCCUGGUGGCGAGUGGCGAACGGGUGAGUAAUGCGUCGGAACGCGCCGAGUAGUGGGGGAUAACGCAGCGAAAGCUGUGCUAAUACCGCAUACGUACUGAGGUAGAAAGUGGGGGACCUUCGGGCCUCACGCUAUUCGAGCGGCCGACGUCUGAUUAGCUAGUUGGUGGGGUAAAGGCUCACCAAGGCGACGAUCAGUAGCGGGUCUGAGAGGAUGAUCCGCCACACUGGAGCUGAGACACGGCCCAGACUCCUACGGGAGGCAGCAGUGGGGAAUUUUGGACAAAG